rnacentral:rRNA from 1 species
CCUACGGGAGGCAGCAGUGGGGAAUAUUGCACAAUGGGCGGAAGCCUGAUGCAGCGACGCCGCGUGAGGGAUGACGGCCUUCGGGUUGUAAACCUCUUUCGACAGGGACGAAGCUUUUGUGACGGUACCUGUAUAAGAAGCACCGGCUAACUACGUGCCAGCAGCCGCGGUAAUACGUAGGGUGCGAGCGUUGUCCGGAAUUACUGGGCGUAAAGAGCUCGUAGGUGGUUUGUCGCGUCGUCUGUGAAAUUCCGGGGCUUAACUCCGGGCGUGCAGGCGAUACGGGCAUAACUUGAGUGCUGUAGGGGAGACUGGAAUUCCUGGUGUAGCGGUGAAAUGCGCAGAUAUCAGGAGGAACACCGAUGGCGAAGGCAGGUCUCUGGGCAGUAACUGACGCUGAGGAGCGAAAGCAUGGGGAGCGAACAGGAUUAGAUACCCCAGUAGUC